CGACCGGCGCACGGGUGCGUAACGCGUAUGCAACCUACCUUUAACAGGGGGAGUAACACUGAGAAAUUGGUACUAAUACCCCAUAAUAUCAUAGAAGGCAUCUUUUAUGGUUGAAAAUUCCGAUGGUUAGAGAUGGGCAUGCGUCGUAUUAGCUAGUUGGUGGGGUAACGGCUCACCAAGGCGACGAUACAUAGGGGGACUGAGAGGUUAACCCCCCACACUGGUACUGAGACACGGACCAG
rnacentral:rRNA from 1 species